UGGAAACAUUGCGCGGUCGCCAUGCGCGACUAAAGAUUUUACUUCCAAUUUUUCGGAGAGUAGGUCUACUGUCCCUCUUUAUACUGUGACUACGGGUUGCUACAUCUUCAGGAUAUCCGUCGAAUACCAUUAUGGCAUUGGAUUUAUAUUUCGAUCGAACGUACGUGAUGUAGUUACUGCAAAUAGAUGAAAAUGGUUCAUCAACAUGCCAAAUGACUCGGUGUAAUAAGACGUCAAUAGUAGAAUAUUUUAGAAAAAUAUACGAAAAACGCGUGGUGGUGUAGAUGAAUAAUAAUUUGUGACGCUAGUAUGCGAAUACUAUUGAUUUUACAGAAAAAAUUAUAAAUACAUAAAUUUUAGGAGAUUUUUUCUAGUUUGGUUUUCUAUGGCAUAUAAAUGUUUUUUUCAUAAAAUGGGUCGGAAAGGAGAUAUGUAUUCCGAAAAAACUGUUAUUAUGCGCAAUUUUGUUAGUAACGGCGCGAGCGGCGGAGAUACGAGGUAGCAAAGUUGAUAUUCGAAAUAACCCAUUUUCAAAACUUUCGGAAAACUUUCCAGGUAACUUCCUUUUUUGACCAAAUGACUGAACUAUUAUAUACAUAUUAUAUAAUUUUAAUUAAUAUAUAAUUAUUAUAUAAUUUUAAGGUGUAGAAUAUGGUUCCUGGAAGUGAACCUGGGAGGUAAGAAAACUGAAAACAUCGAUUUGCCAAGAAUCUGUACGCUGCAGAAACAAAUUCUUCAAACAAGAAAUGUCGCUGAGAUAAUUUUGAACAAAACUGUUUUUAGCACUUUUUGUGUAGAAUGAACCGUUUUUUCAUAAACAACGCUUGAAACGACCCGCGAUUUUAAAUGGAAGUUCCGCGUGCAAAAUCAAUUUUUUAAAUAAAAUUUGUAUCAGCUCGACGGAAAAAAUUCAAUUUCUUUGGAUCAGAGUGUCCUAUCCACAAAAAUCAAAAUGCGUGAAGAGCGAAUAUUUUCUAAAAGGGCCCACAAAUUGCGUUAUUCCUCGACAGUUUUGUUCGACGAACAAAUCUGUUCGAACAAAAAUGACGCAAAACGGAAGUGUGUGUCUCGAAAACUGUCGUUUUUGUUGGCCUGCAAAAAUGAUGGAAUAAUCAGGUUCAGCUUGAUUAUUUCUGUCGAACUUGUUCGAUACGCACUUCAAGUCCAGCAAAUCUGAGUUGUAGGGGUAUAACAAUUUUAAAAACCGACUGUUUAUCCCUAAGUGGCGCAUUGAUUUAUUUUUAAAACAUUUAUUUUAAAUUAAAAGUCUAUAUUUCUCAAUGAAUUGUUUCAAUACGACGGAUCUUCGCCAGAUAAAUAGAACGUUUUUAUUAGAAUUUAUAGAAUUACUAUAUCGUAGCUUUCCGUAUAAAUGGAAGAUUAAAUGUCGCGAGUACAGUGAUCGACUUAAGACAGACAAAGCAUAUGAAAGUCUAUUGACAACGUUAAAUUGCGUUAUUGUUCGACGAACAAAUCUGUUCGAGCAAAAAUGACGCAAAACGGAAGUGUGUGUCUCGAAAACUGUCGUUUUUGUUGGCCUGCAAAAAUGAUGGAAUAAUCAGGUUCAGCUUGAUUAUUUCUGUCGAACUUGUUCGAUACGCACUUCAAGUCCAGCAAAUCUGAAUUGUAGGGGUAUAACAAUUUUAAAAACCGACUGUUUUUCCCUAAGUGGCGCAUUCAUUUAUUUUUAAAAUAUUUAUUUUAAAUUAAAAGUCUAUAUUUCUCAAUGAAUUGUUUCAAUACGACGGAUCUUCGCCAGAUAAAUAGAACGUUUUUAUUAGAAUUUAUAGAAUUACUAUAUCGUAGCUUUCCGUAUAAAUGGAAGAUUAAAUGUCGCGAGUACAGUGAUCGACUUAAGACAGACAAAGCAUAUGAAAGUCUAUUGACAACGUUAAAGAAAUGAAUCUGAUACAACAAAAUAAACAGUAAAGAAAAAGAUUGAUUCAUUAAGAGCAGGCUAUACAGAAGGAAGAAAAAAAAGUUAACAGAUUAAAACAUAGCAGCGUUGGAAGUGAUGACGUAUAUGUACCAAAUCUGUAGUAUUAUGAUGAUCUGUCAUUUUUGAAGGAGAAAGAAACAACACGUGCUCAGGAAGGCGACGAUGCUUGAUUUUAUGGAAAACGCCGCCGCUAGUGCAUACAAAUAAAUUCGUUUCGUAUUCGAACAAACUACUAAACAAAACUGAAAUAUGUGUGCAACUCGUAUUAGUCAUUUUGGUUUGAACCGAUUUGCUCGGCGAACAAAGCUGUCGAGCAAUAACACAAUUUGUGGAUCCCUUUGUAACGAUCCGUCCCGUUACUAAAGUAUUUUUAAUAUCUUUAAUUAGUUUUAUAAUUAUUUUCUCUUAAUCCCUUAAUUAAUUUCUCUAAGUUUAUCGUAAUUAAUUAUUUAUAAUUAGUAUCUUCUCUUAUAAAUAUUUAAAAUUUGUUUGGUGACGUGACACUUCGGUGUUUACAGAACGUACUUACGCCACCUAGGGAGAAUUAUUAUUUCGUGUUCUGAGAUAAGUUGACGUUUCCUUGUGGGAGAAGCGUAGUUCGCUGACCACUUGACUUGUGAGCUCGAAAUAGUUCGGUUGUAGUACCCAAAAUGGCGGGUUGAUAAUUCCAACUAAAGUUGAAGGCUUUUAGUUAACGCCUCCAGUUCAGUAGUGAGAGGAUAGUACCAAUUGUUUUCUGGAGUAAGGAUUGAAGAACCUCGAUGGAACCUUAAUAAAAUCAUCCGCCAUUUGGGAAGUAAUAUAAAAAUCAACAUGUGAAGUCGUAGACCCCUCAACCACCUGAGAGGGACAUAUUCCAGCCCAGUCAAGUCAUUUGGGGAACAAGUUAUGGGGCGUUCCAGCUCCUGAUUUUCUUUACAUAUGGACCUACGGGAAAGACAGGUUAGCACCCUCAGUGUGCUGGUUUUUCUGGAAUGCAGCAUCGAACCUUUUUGGGAAGUCGUUCGAUGAAUAGGUUUUUUUUGGGAACAUUUAUUUUUGUGACUUUUAGUAGCUAUGACGUUUAAUAUCACAGACAUUUAGUUAAUACACAAUGUUUAAUAAUUUUUUUUAAGAUUUAGCUUGCACUUUUUAUAUAACUUACAUAUUAGUUUAUUUAGUUCCCCAACUUAUGUAUAAUCCUGCGGUACUCUACAUUGAAAUCGCAUCUGCGUAUCUGCCAAAAAAAAAAAAA
rnacentral:lncRNA from 1 species